GACCCCCAAGGCUGACCUAUCAGCAGCACCUUUUGGGAAUGUUUUUGUGUUUUCUUUUUGCAUUUUUUGGUUUUGGUUUUGUUCCGAGCAGAGCACUGCUCGCCCUCAGAUGCUCCGAUAGGCCUCCCUUGGGGUCCAUGCCCACAGCCCCCCCUCGGGUGAAAUCCCCCCCCCCCCCCUCGGGAAGAACCACUGCUGUGGAAGCGCAGCCUGCCUCCCUGGGCUGCACGCUCCCCUCCGCCUCUGGCCUCCAGUGGUUGCCACUGACACUUGUUCCUCAAAGGUCCCAGCACUGCCCCCGCUGGGACAGUGAUCCAGCCAUCCCUUCUUGGAACCAACACAGUCCCUUCCAUCUGCCAUGCCCCAAACUCCAGCCUACUUUCCAGAGUUAUCUUUUUCAUUUUCUUAGGUCUGUCCUCCCUCUUAGUCAAAAAUCAUUGUUGAAUGUGACUUUAAUUCUUUUUACUUAAACUUCCUAAAUCAUCCCUUGUUCAUUCCAUACUUGUUUUCAAAGUGCUUCAUGCUCACUGUGGUACAAAAGAACUUUGGAAAUCUACUCAUUUCAGCACUCAUUCUCUUCCAUAUUUAAUAUUUUGAGGCAUGGUCUAAACUUUUCCUCUCCUCCACCCUCGCCCCACACGCUUUCAUUCCUCUCUUUAUUUUUGGCCAUACCCGUGGUAUGCAAAAGGUCCCAGGCCAGGAAUCAGACCCUCAGCACAGCCAUGACAAUGACAGAUCCCUAACCUGCUAGGCCACCAGGGAACUCCUAAUUUCUCUCUCGUUUCAAUCUUGUUGAAAACAUGAACCUUCCUUGAACUCAGCUAUUAAAAAGUCCAUAUCCCUUAACCUUCUCUUAACCUGAUUUCCCUCUCACUCCCGUUUAAUAUUUUCUGCUCUUUCAUUAAUACUUCAUGUUUUAAUUUUAUAUACUGUAGUAGGUUUGGCAAAAUUCUCUGUCCAGCCACCUUAAUUUACUCAUCCUUUGCUGUUAUCAUGCUUUAGUUUUACUAGGCCCUGAUUUUGUCAUUGUCUCUGUAUGUAAUCCGUGCACUCUUCCUCUCCUUGUUCCUAUUUUAUUUCCAUUUUAUUAUUGAGUACAAGGCCUUUUUUUUCUCAUAUUUGUUUCUUCUCAUGGACUCUUUUAAUCCUAUAUAUAAGUCUGCUUUUGCAUAUCUGUUUUGGUACCUCUUUCUCUUCUCUGCCCUAUUUACACCCUUGCCUCAUCCCACCCUGUUCCAUAAUUUGUGCAGUGAAUCUUGCACUGUAGUCCUUUCUACAUAGUGAAAACUGGAUGUGCAGUUUUCCUUGCCAUUCCAUGGCCCUCAGCUGAAUUCCUCUUUAUCCAGUCUUAACUUCUAUGUCCUCUGCUUUGUUUGGACUUGGAUUGAAUGCACAGCUCCAUCUAUCUCUUCCAGUUUGCCUUUUGCUCAUAUUCCACUCUGCAUGAAGUUCCCUUCUAACUUAUUUCCAUCCCACCUUCACUUUCUUCCGUACUGUUGGCCUGUCUUUAAUCCUGUGUCCAUUUCUGCCUUCAGUGAGGGUCUCCUUCUUGUGAAGCUGUUUUACCCUGUAUUUCGUGUCUCUGACAUGUUGUCUUAUCCACACACUGCUCUUUUUACUUGGUUUCUAUCACCUAUGUUCUUCCUUGUGCCAUUAGGUACAAUUACGGUGCCAAACCUUGUUUCUUGGUAUGUCAUUCCUCAGUGAUUUUUCCCAUUUAAAGUGAAAUUUUGCUUUUUUGCCCAUUUUCUUCCCCUCCUUCUUUGCCCCAUUCUACCUUUUAUUAACCGUCCAUAUACUGAGUAGGUAGCAUUCUCCUAACACUCACUGAGACCUUCCUCUUUGGUUCCUCUUCUUGUUCUCCAUUCAUUCCUCAAUCCACUUCCAUGUUUCUUCUUUCUUACAUAUUUUGCUGAAUCGCUUUGGUUUUUCUAUUUAUUCUUUGGCAGAAUCCCUGCAACUUGUGUUGUUUUGGGUCUGAACUUGUCUCAAACCUUUCUGCUGACUCUCCUGUUUAAUGCAAACAUGCUUUUCUAGAUACUGUCCUUUUUAUGUCUCGUUUUCAUUUAUCACUUUUAUCUUCCCCUGUUCUUCCUUUAAGAAAUGCCUCCCCACACAGUUCUCUGACUUUCUGACUCAACUGCCUUCAAGUACAAGCAAUUUUCCUUUUCCUUCCUUUUCUUUCUUUUUUUGCUUUUUAGGGCCACACUCACAGCAUAUGGAAGGUCCCAGGCUAGGGGUCAAAUUGGAGCUACAGCUGCCGCCUACACCACAGCCACAGCAACGCCGGAUCAGAGCCGCAUCUGCGACCUACACCACAACUCACAGCAAUGCCAGAUCCUUAACCUACUAAGUGAGGCCAGGGAUCGAACCCAAAACCUCAUGGUUCCUAGUCAGGUUCGUUUCCGCUGCGCCACAACAGGAACUCCUCUCCUUUCUUUAAAAUAUGCUGAAUAACAGUUUUUGUUAGUAAAUGCUCAUGUUGUAGUUCUUAAAUUUGAAAAAGCCCAUAACCAUCUUCCUUUAAAAAAAUCCAACAUAUAUUCUCAACCAUCACAAAAAUACUGUUAUAAAUUCUUUUAAGUAUUUCUUAAAAUAUAAACCAUUUUAAAGGCCAACUACAUAAUUAUUUAAUAUAAAAUUCAUUCACUAGUGUGUAUGUGUGUGGUAUGGAAUGAUCCCAUACUAUAGCCGACAAUUGCAUUCUCCUUUUACAUUGCAUGGAAUUAAUGAAGGUUUCCCAAGAGAAAUAAAAAAAAAAUGCAUAUAACAUUUUAAAAAUGCAAUAUAUAAAUAAACUUUGGGGAAACAUUUACUUACCAAUUGUUGAACUGCUGGAGUUGUUCCACACAUUUUGUAGGGAAGAUGACAGGAAUAAUGCAUAACACAUUUAAACCCUUAGGCACAGGAAGUUAGCCUCUGGGGAGGAGAACUAUGAGCCACAGCAGACAUACCAUCUCGGAUAGACUUGUGCAGACUCAAAGCUUUGCUAGCACGAGAAUGCUAACUCACUGUGCCAAGUUUCCCCAACAUAUGGUAACAUACAGGUAACAACUUUUCAUGUUAAGUAUCUUAGUAAUGUGACUAGAUAGCUGGUGAAACAUGCAUUCCUCAUUCUGAUCUUUUUUGCCAUUCACGCCCUGCAUAUUACAAACCCAGCCUAAUUUCUACAUCCCUUCUCUAACCAGCAUCUUCCUUUCCUUUCCCUUGCCUCUUUUUUUUUUUACACAAGUCUUCACAGUUGCUUCUUUCACUGUCAGCGAGCCGUAAUGUGAUUCUGUAACUUCUCAGCAACCGAGCAUCACACUUAAGAGGCCAAUCUUCCGUAACUCCUUUUGAAUAUUUGCCCUGCCAGUUCUUAAACAUUCUCCUCAGCUGGCACCCACAGACUCUGUUGGUGAAUGCAGUGUUAUUCUCUCAAGGUUCACCUCCUCAUGAUCACCAACCACUUCUCAACCAAUAGCGUGCAUUUGUCCUACUAGAAAAAGUAUCCUAUCCACACCUUCUGAAAGGUCAGUCAAUGGUGAUGUCUUUAAGGUUUCCACCAGUGGCUCCUUAUCAGGAUUUAUCUUAUUCCAUCUCUUUCUAACCCUUCCUAACAGGCAGUCACUUCAAGCAUAAAUUUCCCACAAAGACUUCAAGAGUCAGCCUACCCAAGCCCUAUUCUUUUGGGGGCUCCGGAUCCUCUUCCAUUCCGUACACAGUUCGGGGACCUGACGGUUCUGCUUGUCUUGCAUUCACACUGAUCUGUCUUGCCAUUCCAUCGACUCAGAACUGCUCUCCAAUUCAUGCAGUGCCCCUUUAUUUACUUGCCAUCCUCUCUAUUUCCUUUUUCUUCUGUCAUGACCUUUGGCCUAAGUAUGGAGCAGUGGCCAUUUCUCUCAUCAGUAUGACUGUUCAAAUUAUGCCUUUCCAUCUGCAAGCUCUUCUGUUCCUUUUCUCCUUUCCCCCUUUCUCCUUUUGCUGCAAACUCUCUACAUUUCCCCCAGUAUUCCUUCUCCUUCCACUUAUCAUUCCAGUGACUCUCAUCAUUUUUCUGGAUCUGUGCACUUUUGAUAUUCAGCACCCACAGUUCAAACUUCCUCCAUUUUCCUUAUUUCCCACACUCUGUACUGAAAUUGGUUUCCACCCUCUAUUGAGGCUGGACUCCCUAGGAUUCCUGCUCUGAUCCAUUAUCACAUUUAAUGGCUAACUUGUCAUGCUACUGACUACACUGAUGGCUUCCAAACUUGUUCCAGCACAGCUUUCUGGGCAGUAAGCCUCUUAUUUAGCAAUGUUCUCACCUCUUUCCUCAGCUGGUUGAUAUGUGGCAUACCAUCGUGUUCUUCGCUGAGCUUCUAGUUCUGAUCCCUUUGUGUUCCUCAUCCUGACCCUCUUUAAUGCCCUUCCAUGUUUAACAUUUUGCAAAACUGCAUUUUCUGUACCACAGCCUACAUCCUACACUCCCUCUCCUUGCUUAGAUUCCAGCCUCGAUUUUUCUCCAUGGUUUCCUUCUCUCUCCUUUUUAAAACACCUAUCUCAGUAGUUUCUCUCACAGCCAGUCCGAACAUAAUAAUUAAUUUCUGAGCAGACUUUAGCGUAUUUCAACAAGUCCUUCCUGACUUCUUUAGACUCUUUUCUCUGUCAUAUAUAUUGAAUCUGUAAUAUUUUCAGCUUCCCUCUCUAAUCAUAGUGAGGGAUUCACUAGUCUUCUCUUGAGGUAUACUCCCACUCACUUACACCCAAUACAGUUCGCCCUUUCACCAAAUAAACUACCCACCCACAUGCUCUAGUUGGUCAUACCAGUGUCUUCCAGGUUGCUCUCAAUGGCUUUUCAUUAGAAUUCAUCCCAACUCCUCCUCCUAACCAUCUUAUCAACCAAACCUUUUAAUUAAAAUGUUCUAUUCCCCCCAAAUUCAUAGCCUACUAUCCCACUUCUCAACCUCAUGCUAUAUUUAAGAUUUUUUUUAAGAAAUGAAACAAUGCAUAAUUUAGACUUCUUCUGUACCAUUUUAGAAUCACUUACCUCUUCCUAAGAGAAAAUCACUAAAUAAUUUGACAUUUAUCCUCAUACAUAUUUUUACACUUUUUAUAACUUUGAGGGCUUUAAAUAUAUAUAUAUAUAUAUAUCUCAAUUCUUUAAAAAAAAGUUUUCUCAUCAGGACUUUAAUCUAUUCAUUCUAACUUCUAUUCAUUCAUAUGCAGGCCUUUACUUCUCUCUCAUUAUAUACACCACUCAUUGUAAGCUCCAAACCAAACAUUUUUAACCAGUUAGACCCCUCCUGAGAUCUGACAGAUUGCUCUGUUCUAGGUUUCUUUAAUUCAUAUCUUUUUUGCCUUUUGGCUCUUCUGACUACUAAGAACCUGUGCUCUCAUCACUUAGAUUAAAACCCCUCUCUUCUUUUGUAUUCCAUUAUGCUCGACCAUAUUCAUUUCAGUCUCAUCCUAUAUCACAGCAAAGGAUGCAUUAUUUUUUUGCUGAGGUUUACCUCCCUACUGAUUCCCAACCAUUCCUUAAGAAAUGCAAAUAGCCUUCUCUAUAAACAGACUUAAUUGGUCAAUCCUGUGUUUCAAGAUGACUAACAAUGUCUUCUUAGGAGAAUUCAUUUUAAUAAAACUCAAACUUCCCUAUUAAGCAAGAUUUUAAUUAAAAAAUGUUACCCACAGCAUUAAGAGCUAGUUUACGCUCUAAUUCCCAUUUCUAUCCAAGUCCUUGAAACUCCAUUAGAUAUACCACUCAUUACCAUUGGGCUGUCCCAUCCAAUUUUAACAUUUAAAGCCAUUUUAAGAUCUCUGUUCUGGGUCUCUUUAUUACACACCUGAUCUGUAUUGCUCCCACUCCCUUUACUCUUAAGUCUUCUCUAGUCCAUACAACAGGUCUUUAUUCAGUUAACAAAUUCUCUUUUUCUUCCUAUUCCUUCAUAAUCUUGGCCUAAAUAUGGUAACAUAACCCACCAGUUAAUAGAUACCAUUCUUAAAAUCAUCCCUUCACAUUUGCAGGAAGCUUCACUUUGCCUCCCAUUCUUAUUUUGCCCUAGAGAAACAUGCUGCCUUGUCUUCUGUGUCUCUCCUUUCACCUUCUACCUACACACACACCUUGCCAGAGAUUCAGCUGUCCCGUAAGGACAGGCGCUCCCCUUGUGUGGGGCACUCACUGCUCAGCCCCUGCCAGCUCCCCUUCGUGUCCUACUUGACUGCUUUUGUUUGUACUCUCAGUUCAGCAUAAAAUUCCCCAAGAUUCCUGCCACUGGCCUGCCUCUUAUGUCCAUUCCACUUAGCCUACUUCUGACCUUUCACUGUAUUGACCACACCCAUUACUUCUAUUAUUUUUCCAAAACAGCAUCCUGGAAGCAAAACUUCAUACUCCAAUCCUUACUUUGCUGCAUUCUCGCCUCACUUUCUCUCCUUAAUCAUAUACAACUCUGACACACUUCCAGAUCCCAUGUCCUGCUGUUGCCAUUUAGCCCUCUUCAGCAUCCUUCCAUUUUCUACACUGCAAGUUCUGUACCAUAGCCUGAUUCACAUGCGCCUUCUCCUUAUUUAGCUUCCAACCUCCAUCUUUUGCUCUUUCCUUCUUUGCUAUUUUUGCAUGCUAGUCUCCUCAGGUGUCUCUCUCACUUUCUGAAAAUUCUAAUACACUUCCUUAAUUUCUGGGUGUAUCUUAAUGUCCCUCUCAUAGGACAUUCUUCCCAGUUCUCCUUUGGAGAGUCCCCUCAUAUAUGGUAACCUUUCAGAGUAAUGAAUGCAUAUUCUGUUUGAGGUCUCCUCAUCUCCUGAUCCCUACCCUCUCCCUCGCUCAAAACCAAUUUUCUACUCUUUAGAUGAGCCUUUCCUUUGGAUGACUUCUGUCCUCUUCCUUUUCAUCAUGGACUUCAGCCCGGGUAUGGUGCCAUAUGCCUCCAGAUGGUAUCAGUGAUAAUAUCUUUGCCAACAUUAAGUGAUACCACCUCACCUGGCAGCAGUUUUAACUUUGCUGUUUUACUCCUCUUUCUUUAUUUUGCCUUAUAAAAACUCUACCUUAUAUUCAGCAUCCCUCCUUCAUGCAGAGACUGUGUAGGGUACAUAUUAUUCCCAUAGAUUCAGUAAUCUCUCCCAGAUAAAUCAACACUUCAUGAUCAGCAUUCACUGUUCCGACUCUGGACUGGACUCUAAGCUCCAUGCCGCAUAGUCUCUCUUCUACAAAACCUCCUGAACAGUUCCCUCAAUUCAUAACCUUGAUUCUUAUUUAGCUACAUUCCCUUCUUCCUCCCUUUAAAUGACUGUGAUCUGGAUGAACAUAAAAUCACUAUUAAAUUUCUUCUUCCCCCAUGUCCCAGAAUUUCUCCUUCUAACACUCUGCAGUGCCCUUACCCAUUGGCCAUGUUGCUUCCUGCCAGUUCCCUUCACAUGGCCCUUUUCCUUUUAUUAGACUCCACUCUCCCCUUAUCUACUGUCCUUUGUUACAAGUCUCAUCAGUUCUUCUCUAAUUUUCAGCUAAUCCUAGUAUGACAACUUGCUAGCAAAUAAUUACUCUUUUUUCUUCUUUUUUUUUGUUUUUUGUUUUUAGGGCCUCACCCGCAGCAUAUGGAGGUUCCCAGGCUAGGGGUCCAAUCGGAGCUAUAGCUCCGGCCUAUACCACAGCUACAACAAUGCCAGAUCCAAGCCACAUCCGCCACCUGCACCACAGGUCACGGCAACAUCAGAUCCUUAACCCACUGAUCAAGGCCAGGGAUCAGACCCACAACCUCAUGGGUCCUAGUCGGAUUCAUUUCCACUGCACCACGGCAGGAACUCCCAAAGAAUUACUCUUAAUCUGCCUUCCUAUAAAGCAGUGGCUCUCAAAUUGCAGUUUGUUAAAAUUCAAACUGCUGGACCCCAUCUUGAAUUUCUGAUUCAGGAGGUCUAGUGGGGCCAAAGAAUUUAUAUUUCUAACAAAUUCCUAGGCAGUGCUGAUAUAACACAUUUUAAGAAGCAUUGCAAUAAACUUUCCCCUCAACCAUGCCCUUUAAAAAUUUCCCACCAAGGCAUCAAGAGCAGGUCUACUUCUGACUAUCACUUCUUUUCAGGGCUUUAUUUCUCUCCCAUUAUGUAGACUAGUCAUUGCAGCCUGGCUUACAUCCAGCAUACUGAGCAGUUAGGCCCAUCCUCCAAUCUGACUGGCUUCCCAUUCCAUUGUGGGAAUCUUUUUGGUUUUUGUUCUUACCAGGCUACCUACUCAGAGUCACUGCCUAGUCUAUACAGUGCUCCUCCAGCUU